rnacentral:rRNA from 1 species
GUACCUACGGGAGGCAGCAGUGGGGAAUAUUGCACAAUGGGGGAAACCCUGAUGCAGCAACGCCGCGUGAAGGAAGACGGUUUUCGGGUUGUAAACUUCUGUUCUUAGUGAAGAAAAAUGACGGUAGCUAAGGAGCAAGCCACGGCUAACUACGUGCCAGCAGCCGCGGUAAUACGUAGGUGGCAAGCGUUGUCCGGAAUUACUGGGUGUAAAGGGAGCGCAGGCGGGAAGCCAAGUCAGCUGUGAAAACUACGGGCUUAACUUGUAGACUGCAGUUUAAAAUGGUUUUCUUUGGUGAAGUAGUG